rnacentral:rRNA from 1 species
GACGAACGCUGGCGGCGUGCUUAACACAUGCAAGUCGAACGGAAAGGCCCUGCUUGCAGGGUACUCGAGUGGCGAACGGGUGAGUAACACGUGGGUGAUCUGCCCUGCACUUCGGGAUAAGCCUGGGAAACUGGGUCUAAUACCGGAUAGGAGCCAUUUUUAGUGUGAUGGUUGGAAAGUUUUUUCGGUGUAGGAUGAGCUCGCGGCCUAUCAGCUUGUUGGUGGGGUAAUGGCCUACCAAGGCGGCGACGGGUAGCCGGCCUGAGAGGGUGGACGGCCACAUUGGGACUGAGAUACGGCCCAGACUCCUACGGGAGGCGGCAGUGGGGAAUAUUGCACAAUGGGCGCAAGCCUGAUGCAGCGACGCCGCGUGGGGGAUGACGGCCUUCGGGUUGUAACCUCCUUUCGCUAGGGACGAAGCUUUUUGUGACGGUACCUAGAUAAGAAGCACCGGCUAACUACGUG